UUUUUUUUCAUUUUCUAUUUAUAGGCUCGUUCGAGCCCUUCCUUUAUCUAAUUAUCUAAUCUAAAAGAAAUUCCUGAUUUGUAUAUCUCUAUAGAAUAGAGAAAGAAAGACUCCUUACAUUAUAUGUAAUGUAGUAAUUCUCUUUUUCAAUUGGGAGAGAUGGCCGAUUGGACUAAAGCGUCGGAUUGCUAAUCUGUUG
rnacentral:lncRNA from 1 species